AGGAAGGGUGGACCCGCUUGAGAUUUCCUGUCUCGCUGUGAGUCACUGAUACCGAGCACUUCUCGCAUUUCGCUGCCUCCUCUCCGGAGAGCGGGAAUGCGCGCAGAAGUCAAACCCCAUCCCUCGUGGUCCCGCGGACAGCUGCCUUCCCCGCGGUGAACGAGAAGGGUCUGCACGGCUUCGGGGCUGGCUCCCCCUACGGGCAAGGCAAGAAACCGACGGAAGGGCUCCGCAGUACCCCUCGCAGGAAGCAGGUAACGAAGCUUGCGAGAAAGAACAUCCUUGCGUAUCACGAAGGUGCAAUGCAAAAGGACACUCAUUGUGGAGACCGAAGUUAUAAUUUCCAAUUCUGACUCGGCUGGCAAAGACUGUAAGCCUGUCUCACACCUACUUCUCUUCCAUCCCCCGCCUGCCAACAUUGCAAACAAACUGAAGUUGAAUAGGGGGUUUUGAAAUUCCUAUCAGAACUUCCCAAGUGAUGGGCAUGAAGGGUUGCAGGUGUCCUGAGAUAUCGGCUUCCCUGGACCUGAGGUGUCAGAGUCCCCCAGGACGUCCAUCUUUAAGAGCGUUCCUUUACCCUAGAGUGCCAUUCAGAUAUUGUGAUUUUCUGUGGACCAUAAUAUGACCGAGUUUGGGAAGCCCUGUUACGGUCACCAUUGUCAUGGGCAAAGCUAGAAUAUUUUAUAAGACAGUCAUGCCUAGAACCUUGGGACUGUUUAGCAAACCUGAGCAGGGAGCAGGCCCAUUUUGCUGCUGUGUUGGCAAGUCUGAUUAACUGCCAUUUUUCAUAUACCGUGGAACCUGCAGCAGUGUUUCCCAAAGCAUGGCCUAAGAAUCAUCGAGGAAAUGUGUCAACUAUGCAGAUUCUCAGGCUCUAAACAGACCCACAGAAUCGGAGCCUCUAGCUGCGGGACCCGGAUAUCUACAUUUAAACAAGGAUUCCAAGUGAUUAUCAUGCUCACCGAAUUUUGACACCACUUAGGCUCACUUUUAACAAUUUAAAAUAUACAAUUCAUAUUUUGAAACAGAAUUUGUAUUUCAAUAAGGCUCUCCACUCAGGACUCUUCUAUGUCAUUUCCUACUUUCUCUUCUCUCAUCACUUGCUAAGUCUCAGACUUUUCGACGGUGAGUAAUUAGACUUUUUUGGUUGCAAACAACAGGAUCUAAUGCUGAAUGAAUUAGGCUAAAACAAAAUUUACUGCCAUUUGUGGGGGUAACUCCUAAUCUAAAGAUCCACUGUUAGGAACAGGUAAGACCUAGAGUAGCUCCAAAUAUGUAGAGUAGGAAGGACUGGGGGUAAUCAGCUCCUAUGUCACUUUACUCACAUUUCAAAUUAUACUGGGAAAACAGAAGCUUUGCGCAGAACGGCCAUCUGCUUAUAUCUUGGCCAGAAGUGAGCAUGUGACUUAGGGACAACUUCCAGAUCUAUGUCCAGGGACCAAGGGGCAGACUUCCAAUACAAAAUUGCAGUACCACUGCAAGAAGAGUAGGGGAAGAUUUCUGUGUAGUCAAAAACAACAGCUUUACCAUAAAGCAAAAAACUCUGGAAUGCUGAAUGCAGGGUCCUUAUUUUCUUCUGAAGUCAUCUCAUUCCUGAGCUAAGCAAUACUUAUACACCUGGUGGUCUGUGUCUGGUGCUCUGUUGGGUUUUAGAGAAUUAGCAAAGAAGUUACUAGAGGUCAAGGGCAACAAAUUGAGGCAAAUAGUAAGUGAGCUAGUUGAGACUGACUAUGUUUGUAAUAGAACUUCUCUCAUUAGGCGUAAGUAAGGAAGAGCCUGUAUAAAUGGACUAUUAUUUCUAUUAACUAUGAAGAGUCUGGUAAACAUCACUUUGCUUGUGGGGUAAUUUUAUGGGGCCUGUCUUGAGGAAAAGAUAUGGAGGCUUGCAAUUUAUAUAA